AACGAACGCUGGCGGCAGGCUUAACACAUGCAAGUCGAACGAGAUCUUCGGAUCUAGUGGCAGACGGGUGAGGAACACGUGGGAACAUCCCUUUCCGUUCGGAAUAACGUUGGGAAACUAACCCUAAUACCGGAUACGUCCGUCGGGAGAAAGAUUUAGCUCUGAAAGAUUGGCCCGCGCCUGAUUAGCCAGUUGGUGAGCUAAUGGCUCACCAAGGCUACGAUCAGGAGCUGAUCUGAGAGGAUGAUCAGCCACAAGGAGACUGAUACACUGCCCAACCGCCUACGGGAGUCAGCAGUGGGGAGUAUUGGACAAUGUGCGCAAGCUUGAUCCAGCCAUGCCGCGUGAGUGAUGACGGCCUUCGGGUUGUAAAGCUCUUUUGUCCGGGAAGAUAAUGACUGUACCGGAAGAAUAAGCCCCGGCAAACUUCGUGCCAGCCGCCGCGGUAA
rnacentral:rRNA from 1 species